CACGUAGGAGGCGAGCGUUGUCCGGAAUCAUUGGGCGUAAAGAGCUCGUAGGCGGCCACUCAAGUCGAAUGUGAAACCUCGAGGCUUAACCUCGAACCUGCAUUCGAUACUGGGCGGCUAGAGUCUGGUAGGGGGAUCUGGAAUUCCUGGUGUAGCGGUGGAAUGCGCAGAUAUCAGGAGGAACACCGCUGGCGAAGGCGGUAUCCUGGGCCACUACUGACGCUGAGAAGCGAAAUCAUGGGGAGCGAACAGG
rnacentral:rRNA from 1 species